AUCUCUUGUCUGUUUUCUCUUAAAGAAACCAUGGGAUGGGUGACACGUCUAUCAAGUUUGAAGUGGUUCCUGGGAAAAACCAGAAGAGUGAAUACGUCAUGGCGUGUGGCAAGCACACAGUGCGCGGGUGGUGUAAGAACAAGAGAGUUGGAAAGCAGUUAGCCUCACAGAAGAUCCUUCAGCUGCUGCACCCACAUGUCAAGAACUGGGGGUCUUUACUGCGCAUGUACGGCCGUGAGAGCAGCAAGAUGGUCAAGCAGGAGACGUCGGACAAGAGUGUGAUUGAGCUGCAGCAGUAUGCCAAGAAGAACAAGCCCAACCUGCACAUCCUCAGCAAGCUCCAAGAGGAGAUGAAGAGGCUAGCUGAGGAGAGGGUGAGUGCCACCCUAGCAGGAGGGCUGCCGGGCCACAGCCAUUCCUGUGGCAGCUGUGGAGGGACAGCAGACCCCAGGACCCAUGCCUGAGCUGACACCUUGGAAAUGCUUGGAUCCUCCUUCCAAAAUCAGAUACAGGCUUUUCUUUGAGCUUCAACGUGUGUGAUACUUUUAUAAAUCA
rnacentral:sRNA from 1 species